AAGGCUUUAAGUUAAUCUAAACUAAUAGCCUUCAAAGCUGCAAAUAAAACUUUUAUUUUAAGCCUUA
rnacentral:tRNA from 1 species